GAUGGACGCUGGCGGCGUGCCUAAUACAUGCAAGUCGAGCGAAUGGAUUAAGAGCAUGCUCUUAUGAAGUUAGCGGCGGACGGGUGAGUAACACGUGGGUAACCUGCCCAUAAGACUGGGAUAACUCCGGGAAACCGGGGCUAAUACCGGAUAACAUUUUGAACCGCAUGGUUCGAAAUUGAAAGGCGGCUUCGGCUGUCACUUAUGGAUGGACCCGCGUCGCAUUAGCUAGUUGGUGAGGUAACGGCUCACCAAGGCAACGAUGCGUAGCCGACCUGAGAGGGUGAUCGGCCACACUGGGACUGAGACACGGCCCAGACUCCUACGGGAGGCAGUAGUAGGGAAUCUUCCGCAAUGGACGAAAGUCUGACGGAGCAACGCCGCGUGAGUGAUGAAGGCUUUCGGGUCGUAAAACUCUGUUGUUAGGGAAGAACAAGUGCUAGUUGAAUAAGCUGGCACCUUGACGGUACCUAACCAGAAAGCCACGGCUAACUACGUGCCAGCAGCCGCGGUAA
rnacentral:rRNA from 1 species